AGAACGAACGUUAGCGGCGCGCCUAACACAUGCAAGUCGAGCGAGAAAGGGCUUCGGCCCCGGUACAGCGGCGCGCGGGUGAGUAACACGUAGGUAAUCUACCCCUGAAUGGUGGAUAACCCUCCGAAAGGAGGGCUAAUACAGCAUAAGACCACGGCUUCUUCGGAGGCUGAGGCCAAAGCGGGCCACUUCAUGAAAGCUCGCGUUUGGGGAUGAGCCUGCGGCCCAUCAGCUAGUUGGCGGUGUAACGGACCACCAAGGCUAAGACGGGUAGCUGGUCUGAGAGGAUGAACAGCCACACUGGAACUGAGACACGGUCCAGACUCCUACGGGAGGCAGCAGUGGGGAAUAUUGGACAAUGGGCGAAAGCCUGAUCCAGCAAUGCCGCGUGAGUGAUGAAGGCCUUAGGGUUGUAAGCUCUUUUACCCGGGAUGAUAAUGACAGUACCGGGAGAAUAAGCUCCGGCUAACUCCGUGCCAGCAGCCGCGGUAA
rnacentral:rRNA from 1 species